rnacentral:tRNA from 1 species
AGCUUAAAGCUAAAACAGGACUUGGAAUCUCUCGAAUCUAAGAUCGUUUGAUUUCAUUUGUCCAGUUAAGCUU